UGAAUAAGAACCAAUUAUUUCAUGCGCUUUUCUACACCACGUUUGGCUCUGUGUUUAAGUUCCCCUGGAUCCACAGCUCCUGCUUCGCAGUAGCCAGUGUUGCCUGCACCACCAAGCCAAAUCAGCAGCAAUGCAACAACAGCUGCUAGCUUCACAUACUUGGAUGAUGGCACUCCAUGCUGAAGCACUGGGGUGCAGAAAAGAACAUGGGCGUAGAAUCGACAGUACUGAACCUGGGCCGCCUGCUGUCGGAGAAGAUUCAGGACAUCUUGAAGUCAAA
rnacentral:lncRNA from 1 species